rnacentral:misc_RNA from 1 species
AAUUCUUGAUUGUCCAUAGUUCUGCAAUCAGAAAUAUCAGUAACAAGUUAAGCACUUGCAAAAUUUUACUUGGGGAAUUGAUUUUUAUUCACAUAAUCCUUACCUAGUUUGUGUGCAUGAUUUAAUUGCUUUAAGAAAUCUGUUCCGUGGAUCUAGACGUGUUAAACCUAGCCAGUUUUGACACAAGCUCGAAUUGGAAGUAUGAAAAACUGCAUCUUUGCCUUUUCACCUUUCGCAAUUCCGAGGUAUCAAGUCACUGGUCAAUUUCGUGAUGACUAUUCUGAGGUCUUUUUUGGUUGGGGGUAAUUCAAUUCAAGAUGUUUAAGUUCUCAAGAAGUGCUAAAAUAUAGCUUGUUUGGUUAGCAAUAAUCCUUGACUUCUUAGGAAGUUUAGGCUAUCAAUUCUUUAACUUAGGUAACUUGCUUACCCUAAUCAAGUUAAGUUAUUUAUUGGAAAGUGAACUUAUCAGAAAAUAGGCUAUUAGAACCAAGUAAGGCCUUAGUGUGGUGCUACGUUGAUUGCUAUACUCUAAUUUCUGGUUCUUAUGUUUUCGUUUUCAUAUAAAGCUACUUUUAAUACCUGAUACAGUUUUUGGCAUUACCUCCAUCUGUCUCAAAUGGUGCAAAUUUGGGAUUUUGUGCAGUUUCUACUUCUGAGGAAUUCUCAAGGUGCUAUUCUCAUAACAAAUGCAUCUUUUUGUACCUUUGCCAUGAAAACUUUUUAGGUGGUCUGUCAUUUUAGGGAGGUUGAAUAUUUCUUUCGCAUUAAUGGGAAGUUAAUUUAUUUGUACAACGCAAAUUGAUUGGUCUGUUUCCUAAUAGUAUAAUCUAUAAUAAAUUACGGUAAUUAU